AUUGAACGCUGGCGGCAUGCUUUACACAUGCAAGCCGAACGGCAGCGGGGGCUUCGGCCUGCCGGCGAGUGGCGAACGGGUGAGUAAUGCAUCGGAACGUGCCCAGUCAUGGGGGAUAACUACGCGAAAGCGUAGCUAAUACCGCAUACGCCCUGAGGGGGAAAGCGGGGGAUCGCAAGACCUCGCGUGAUUGGAGCGGCCGAUGUCGGAUUAGCUAGUUGGUGGGGUAAAGGCCUACCAAGGCGACGAUCCGUAGCGGGUCUGAGAGGAUGAUCCGCCACACUGGGACUGAGACACGGCCCAGACUCCUACGGGAGGCAGCAGUGGGGAAUUUUGGACAAUGGGGGGCAACCCUGAUCCAGCCAUGCCGCGUGUGUGAAGAAGGCCUCGGUUGUAAG
rnacentral:rRNA from 1 species